GACGAACGCUGGCGGCGUGCUUAACACAUGCAAGUCGAACGGAAAGGCCCUGCUUUUGUGGGGUGCUCGAGUGGCGAACGGGUGAGUAACACGUGAGUAACCUGCCCUUGACUUUGGGAUAACUUCAGGAAACUGGGGCUAAUACCGGAUAGGAGCUCCUGCUGCAUGGUGGGGGUUGGAAAGUUUCGGCGGUUGGGGAUGGACUCGCGGCUUAUCAGCUUGUUGGUGGGGUAGUGGCUUACCAAGGCUUUGACGGGUAGCCGGCCUGAGAGGGUGACCGGCCAAAUUGGGACUGAGGUACGGCCCAGACUCCUACGGGAGGCAGCAGUGGGGAAUAUUGCACAAUGGGCGGAAGCCUGAUGCAGCCACGCCGCGUGCGGGAUGACGGCCUUCGGGUUGUAAACCGCUUUCGCCUGUGACGAAGCGUGAGUGACGGUAAUGGGUAAAGAAGCACCGGCUAACUACGUG
rnacentral:rRNA from 1 species